rnacentral:rRNA from 1 species
CACGUAGGGGGCGAGCGUUGUCCGGAUUUAUUGGGCGUAAAGAGCUCGUAGGCGGUUUCGUAAGUCGGACGUGAAAACUCCAGGCUCAACUUGGAGACGCCAUUCGAUACUGCGAUGACUUGAGUCCGGUAGGGGAGUGCGGAACUCCUGGUGUAGCGGUGGAAUGCGCAGGUAUCAGGAAGAACACCGGUGGCGAAGGCGGCUCUCUGGGCCUUACCUGACGCUGAGGAGCGAAAGCGUGGGUAGCGAACAGG